rnacentral:rRNA from 1 species
CCAAAAGCUGGCGACCGGCGCACGGGUGAGUAACACGUAUCCAACCUGCCUCAUACUCGGGGAUAGCCUUUCGAAAGAAAGAUUAAUAUCCGAUAGCAUAUAUUUCCCGCAUGGGUUUUAUAUUAAAGAAAUUCGGUAUGAGAUGGGGAUGCGUUCCAUUAGUUUGUUGGGGGGUAACGGGCCCACCAAGACUACGAUGGAUAGGGGUUCUGAGAGGAAGGUCCCCCACAUUGGAACUGAGACACGGUCCAA